AAGCCGAUCUCGGAUCCGCGAGCGCCACCAGGGCAGCAGCCGCCGCAGCCGCCGCCGCUGUGCUGAGGAGCUGGAGUCGCGGGCGGACGAGGUGGCGGCGGCGGCAGAGCGGGAGCAGAGAGCGGACGCGGGCUGAGCGCGACGGCGCGGGUGUAAUCCAGAGAACAAUUUUCAGACAUCUUUGAUUAUAUUUGACACUGAGCAGUCAGGGGAUUCAGGCAUAUGAGGAGGUACUGUCACACAAAACAGUGUCUAGUGAAGACGACAAGAAAGAGAGAAAAGGAUCGGAAAAAGAAGCUAAAAUAUCAUAGGAAACCAUGAGAUCUAUUAGAUCUUUUGCCAAUGAUGAUCGCCAUGUUAUGGUGAAACAUUCAACAAUCUAUCCAUCUCCGGAGGAACUUGAAGCUGUUCAAAAUAUGGUGUCUACUGUUGAAUGUGCUCUUAAACAUGUCUCAGAUUGGCUGGAUGAAACAAAUAAAGGCACAAAAACCGAGGGGGAGACAGAAGUAAAAAAAGACGAGGCUGUGGAAAACUAUUCCAAGGAUCCGGGUGGCCGGACAUUGUGUGGUGUAAUGAGGAUUGGCUUGGUUGCAAAAGGCUUGCUGAUUAAAGAUGAUAUGGACCUGGAGCUGGUUUUAAUGUGCAAAGACAAACCUACAGAAACCCUGCUAAAUACAGUCAAAGAUAACCUUCCUAGUCAGAUUCAGAAACUGACAGAAGAGAAAUACCAAGUGGAACAAUGUAUAAGUGAAGCUUCUAUUAUAAUUCGGAACACAAAAGAGCCCACACUGACUUUGAAGGUGAUACUUACUUCCCCUCUAAUUAGGGACGAAUUGGAGAAGAAGGAUGGAGAAAAUGUUAUGGUGAAAGACCCUCCAGACUUACUGGACAGGCAGAAAUGUCUGAAUGCCUUGGCUUCUCUUCGACAUGCCAAAUGGUUUCAGGCAAGGGCAAAUGGAUUAAAAUCAUGUGUUAUUGUCCUCCGCAUUCUACGUGAUUUGUGCAACAGAGUACCCACAUGGGCACCAUUGAAAGGAUGGCCACUAGAGCUUAUAUGUGAAAAGUCUAUAGGUACUUGUAAUAGACCUUUGGGCGCUGGGGAGGCCUUGAGACGAGUAAUGGAGUGUUUGGCAUCUGGAAUACUACUUCCUGGGGGUCCUGGCCUUCAUGAUCCUUGUGAACGAGACCCAACAGAUGCUCUGAGCUACAUGACCACUCAGCAAAAAGAAGAAAUCACUCAUAGUGCACAGCAUGCACUUAGACUAUCAGCCUUUGGCCAGAUUUAUAAAGUGCUGGAGAUGGACCCGCUUCCAUCUAGUAAGCCUUUUCAGAAGUAUUCCUGGUCGGUUACUGAUAAAGAAGGUGCUGGGUCUUCAGCUCUAAAGAGGCCAUUUGAAGAUGGAUUAGGAGAUGAUAAAGAUCCCAAUAAGAAGAUGAAACGAAACUUAAGGAAAAUUCUGGACAGUAAAGCAAUAGACCUUAUGAAUGCACUAAUGAGAUUAAAUCAGAUCAGGCCUGGGCUUCAAUAUAAGCUUUUGUCACAGUCUGGCCCAGUCCAUGCCCCAGUCUUCACAAUGUCUGUAGAUGUGGAUGGCACAACAUAUGAAGCCUCAGGACCAUCCAAGAAAACAGCAAAACUUCACGUAGCAGUGAAGGUUUUACAAGCAAUGGGAUACCCAACAGGUUUUGAUGCAGAUAUUGAAUGUAUGAGCUCCGAUGAAAAAUCAGAUAAUGAAAGCAAAAAUGAAACAGUGUCUUCAAACUCAAGCAAUAAUACUGGAAAUUCUACAACUGAGACCUCCAGUACCUUAGAGGUAAGAACUCAGGGUCCUAUCCUCACAGCAAGUGGCAAAAACCCUGUAAUGGAGCUCAAUGAAAAAAGGAGAGGUCUCAAGUAUGAACUCAUCUCAGAGACUGGGGGAAGCCAUGACAAGCGCUUUGUGAUGGAGGUAGAAGUGGAUGGACAGAAAUUUAGAGGUGCAGGUCCAAACAAGAAAGUGGCCAAGGCAAGUGCAGCACUAGCUGCCCUGGAGAAGCUGUUUUCUGGACCCAAUGCAGCAAAUAAUAAGAAAAAAAAGAUCAUUCCUCAGGCAAAGGGUGUUGUGAAUACAACAGUAUCUGCAGCAGUUCAGGCGGUUCGGGGCAGAGGAAGAGGAACUCUGACAAGGGGAGCAUUCGUGGGGGCUACAGCAGCUCCUGGCUAUAUAGCACCAGGUUAUGGAACACCAUAUGGUUACAGCACUGCUGCCCCUGCAUAUGGUUAAUACUUUUAAGCAGUUUUCAGCACGUUUAUCUCACUUUAUUCUCGUUCUCCUCGGACCUCCGUAGCCAUAUCACUUGUAUAAGAUAGGCUGAGAUAUAGUGACUGUAAGCUGUGAUCUCAGUACACAAAGCUCCAAGUCUAGAGGAGUGUUGCAAGGAUUAUCGUUCUACAGGCAUCAAAAGCCCAGAGGUCUCUUCAAACAACCCUGCUUGUCUGUGGUAAAAUCCUUUGGCUUCUAACUAGUGAGUAUUGAGCCACACAGAGGAAAUACCAUUUGUUGUGCUGUUCUGAGGGUUAGCAGAAACUCUCCUAGGGGAUUGGUUUUGAGUCCUGCAACUUAAGGACCUAGAAGUUUGUCCUUAACUAGGGAAGGGCUUUAGGUAAAGUGAAUUUCCCCAAUUACAUAGUGCUUGGUGGCAUAGUCCACACACUCUUGACUGCUUUGCUCAGCUGGUUCUGUGCAUUUCUUGCCACCCUGCUUCCCAAGAUUAUUUGGUAGCAGUGUCCCUUCUUGUCUCUGGUACAUUCUAUUUCCUUUUCUUCCAGACUUUGGGACUAUACUGUGUGUGCCUUACAAAAUAGAACAAACAGAACCAAUCCACCUCUCCUGUUCCCUUUCCUGUCCUAGCUCAUGCUCUCCCUGGUUCCCUUGGAAAUGGAUUGUGAAUCAGCUCUAAGUCAGAAAUACUGUUUUUUGCUAGCUGCACAUUGGGAUAUUAAUGGUCUUCUGCUGUUACCAAAACCGUAUGUAAUAAAAUGCAAACUUAGUGGAUUCUGCUUGGAGAGAUCCCAGGCUUUUGGAAAUGUGAUUGGGGGAGGGGGAGCGUAUGGAGGUGUCUGUGUGUCAGAGGAUGCUGGUCAGUCUGCAUGUGCUUAACCAAAGGGUCAUCUUCACAGUUGUAUUUUUCCAGAGCAGUCUAAUGCAGGGCUCCACUUUGUAAAAUAUCUCAUACCUUUUGAGGUUACACUGAGAAAAUUUAUGGAUGCCAUCUUUCAGAACAUUAAAACAAAAUAUGGUUGCUGCCACUUGAACUCAGAAGGGCUAAAAAUUACCUGGAAAUAGGAUCAAAGGACCAGUAUGUCAAGGCUAGUGAAGGGGAGUGGCCUUGGAUGAGCAUGGACACUUAUUACCACUUAUUUUAAAGGGUUUUAUUGACUUGUAUGUGGUUCCAGAGUGGUAAAGGCAGCUAUGAGUGGCCUGGUGGGCAUUGUGACAUGAAGUUACCACAUGAGGGCAAGCGAAACUGGUUCAGAAGAACAUGGAGUUGUGACCACCAUGGUAUGUGUUCUUAUGAACUGUGUUUGGUGGUACAUGGGGAAGAUUGAGUUCACGAGCAGCCUAGGCUUUGUCAUGAGACCCUGUCCAAAACAAAACAAAAC